GUUAGUCAUAGGAGCCACAAUGGCGAUUGUAGUCUCCUUCAGAUAGGGCUGUGGAUGAUACUAAAUCCACUAGCAUCGCCCUAAAUAUAGGCCUGGUUGAUUUCCAGAGCCAUUAAUAAUAAACUGGAACAUCUACUACACACGAAAAUACUAUGAUUUCUGAUCAAUAUUGAAUCUAUAGGGGAUAAAAUUUACAUUAAAGGGAACAUGUAAACAGCACCAACCGGGUCAAGUUUUCAUUUUGUUGGAGAAACGAGCGUCUUUUACUCAAGGCGUUUGCUUGUUUCUGAAAGCUCAGACCGUUAUUCUGUGGAAUAAAAAUACGUUUUCUUAACUUGGCAUCGGACAAGGACAGCUUUCACAAAGGGACUUUUUCUUUUUUAGGAGUCCGCUCGCUAGCUGUCGAGCAAUAGCUAGCUGUGCUAGCUACGUUGAGGCGGAGGCGAUCCACAGUGCUCCUAUGUUUGGUUUGGACCUUCUUCAUUCACUGACUGACUCAGAGUUCAAACUUUGCUGCAUAGUAAAACCACCUUGGAUUUUUUUUUCUUGUUUUGGCACUACUCUUGGUGAGCGAAUGGAAUGAAUUGGCGCCGAGGAGGACUGGACGUGAGCGGCCUUGAGUGUUCAUUUUGUGCUUAUGUUUUUUCUGUUUCUGCUUUGCAACAUUUGUUUCGACAGUUGAAGUAGCCGUUGUUUUCUUGUGGAUGAAUCUCUCGGAACACGGAAGCCGGCGUGAGGUAUGCCAGGGUCGGACCGACACCAUGGGACCAAGAGGAAGACGGAUCCGAGCGGCGGCGUGCCACAUCAGACCCAAGGCCCGGCUCAUACCUCUGAGGGAAACAUGACGAGCAAAGACAGUAAGGCGCUGUUAAAAUCUUCCAUGUCCACACCAUCAUUGAAACGAAAGCGUCAUAAAUCAAACAAACCUAACCGAGAAUCCUCGGCGAUACCGGGACCCGCAGGUUUUGCCCCCGGUAAUACGGCGCCUCCUGGUGUCAACACGGUGAAACCUCUGGUGGAGUACGACGACAUCAGCUCCGAGUCGGACACUUUUUCGGACCCCCCUUCCUCCAGGCCUUCUGAGAGGGGGGGUGGGGACCGACUGGAUCCCUCGCCUUCACCCGAACACGACGGAGACGAUAUCAGCAGAGAGCCUGAGAGAGAGAACAAGAGUCAAAGACUCUCCCGGAAAAAGCCUAAGGACCCUAAUAAAGUUAGAGACUCUGGGAAUGGGGAGCAUGGGUACAAAAAAAAGAGCAGCAAAGAUCGUGAAAAGGGCAACACUGGGAAAGUCAAGGAGAAAACUGCUUCCUCAGGCUCCUCGACCAAACGCCAGCUCCAACCAGAGGGUAACACCAAGCGUGGAGAGUCAGCGCUCUCUGUACAGACUGCAGCCAGUGUAGGUAGCACUACAUCAUCUACAUCUUCAUCUCGCAGUAAGGAGAGCAGUCGCUCAGGGAAGUCUCAUAAAGAGAGGCAACAGCGAAGAGAAGGCCGAGGAGAUGGAAACCGUGGUUCUUCCCAUAGGAGCCGGACAGACCGGACUCACCGCAAGUCCGCCAAGAGCCACAAGUCAAGCCCUAAGGGCAAGUCGUCAAGCAGGGGAAGCCCUCGCAGAAAGGGCGCUAGCUCUGCUGUAUCAUCGAGUCCCAGAAGAGGCAGUGAGAGUCCAUUGGGUAGUAACUAUGGACAGCAGGGGGAUGACGGCUACUCCAGGCGGAGGUUAGCUCAGAAGAGCCCAAGUCCUUAUGGGGAUUUGUCUCGCCGCAGCAGGCAAAGGUCGGACAGUCCAUAUGGCAGCAGGCACAGGUCCUCAAGCUUUGAGAGGGACAGCAGCCCUUAUUUGAGGAGGCGCUCCAUCAGCCCCUAUGUUAACCGCAGGUCCUCCAGCACCAGCCCCGUGUCUCGACGCUCAGGCCGUUCCAGAAGCCGCUCCCCACUGCCCUACUCUUCUCGUCGCUCCUCUUCUCGUUCACGCAACAAGAGGCAUACUUCUUCAGCUUUAGGAAGUGGCGGCUCCCACAGUAGUCGUCCAGCUAGCCGCUCCCCUCCUUCCUCCCGCUUGCCCCUCACCUCCAGUUUGGGUGCAGAGCUUACCCGCAGAAAAAAAGAGCGCCUAGCUGCUGAGGCGGCUGCUCGCGCCAACGCCAGUGGUACUGCUUCCCCUCUUCCAUCCACUCAAAAACCUGCAAGUUCCACAUCCUCACGAUCUGCUAAAACUGAGCCGCCACAGAUAGAAAGAGACUCUGUUGCAAAGGUAGAAGCCCAGGCAACUGCACAAAUAGCCUCUGAUACUCCCAAGAGUGAAGAUCAAGUUACAGCACCUUUACCCUCGUCCCCUACCUAUUCCCCUGCUCCUCCUCCUCCCGAGCCCUCUCCUCCUGUGCCCCCCUGUCCCAUCACACAGGUGCCACCCCCACCACCGCCUCCUCCUCAGCUGGAAACAGUUAAUCAGCCCACCACACAUCACAUGUCCCAGACAAAAUCACCCGGGUAUGUUCCUACGCGCAGUCCUGUUCGUCAGACACCACUCCACAAGACAUCAACUCUCCCCCCCCUGCCUUUACCACCUAUGCUGCUGGGAAAUGCUCAGGACAGUCCAAAGAAAUCCACCCCUCCCCAGAGGCCAUCAAGAAAGGAGAAGAUGGUUAGCAGCCGGCCUUCUCUUAUUGAUCUUCCUCUACCGCCCACUUUGCCUGGAGCUGACUCGUCGCCCCCUCAGUCGCCUGUCCGACAGCCGCCUCCUGUACCCCAACUGCCCCUCAAGAAGAGACCAAAGAUUUGUUGCCCACGAUAUGGUGAGAGAAAACAUAACCUGAGUGACUGGGGCAAACGCUGUGUAGACAAAUUUGAUAUAAUUGGGAUCAUAGGCGAAGGCACAUAUGGCCAAGUGUACAAGGCAAAGGACAAAGAUACAGGGGAACUUGUUGCUUUGAAGAAAGUGCGUUUGGACAAUGAGAAAGAGGGUUUCCCCAUCACUGCCAUCAGAGAGAUAAAGAUUUUGAGGCAGCUCAAACAUCGUAGCGUUGUCAACAUGAAGGAAAUCGUUACCGACAAGCAGGAUGCACUUGACUUUAAAAAGGAUAAAGGUGCAUUUUACUUAGUAUUUGAGUACAUGGAUCAUGACCUGAUGGGCCUUCUUGAGUCGGGCCUAGUCCAGUUCUCCCACGAACACAUCCGCAGCUUCAUGCGUCAGCUUAUGGAAGGUCUGGACUACUGCCAUAAGAACAACUUCCUGCACAGGGACAUCAAAUGCUCCAACAUACUGCUCAAUAACAGAGGUCAGAUCAAGCUGGCAGACUUUGGUUUGGCUCGACUUUACAAUUCUGAGGAAAGUCGACCAUAUACUAAUAAAGUAAUCACACUAUGGUACCGUCCCCCUGAACUACUGCUUGGGGAGGAGAGGUAUUCCCCGGCCAUUGACGUUUGGAGCUGUGGGUGUAUUCUUGGAGAGCUCUUCACUAAAAAACCCAUCUUCCAGGCAAAUCAGGAACUUCUACAACUGGAGCUCAUCAGCCGUCUGUGUGGAAGUCCUUGUCCUGCAGUGUGGCCUGAUGUCAUUAAACUUCCACUCUUCAACACCAUGAAACCUAAGAAGCAGUACAGGCGGCGGCUACGAGAGGAGUUUGCCUUUUUGCCUACUUCUGCUCUGGACCUGCUGGAUCGAAUGUUGACCCUUGACCCUUCACGUCGCUGCACAUCAGAGCAAGCUCUUCUCAGUGACUUUCUUACUGAUGUAGAUCCCGGCAGGAUGUCGCCACCAGAUCUUCCUCAUCAUCAGGACUGUCAUGAGCUAUGGAUUAAAAAGAAGAGACGUGCGCGUCAGAGUGGGUUGUCGGAGGAUGUGCCUGUGCCCAAAGUGCCCCGUAAAGAUAUCGCUGGGACCUCCAGCGGAGAAAACAGCCGACCCCACAGCAGCCCGCCUGGAGCGCCGCCCGCUCCCCCAGGAAAGCCGCCCUCCACAGCCAAAUUAGAGACUGAGCUGUCAGGUCUGGGAGCAGCUGCAGAGCAACUGAAUCAAACAGAGCUGGCUGUGCUGCUUAACCUCCUCCAGGGACAGACUGACCUCAAGCUGCCCCAAGUGGCCCAGCUCCUUAACCUCUCUGACUCAGAAACUGUCAGCCAGUUGUUAUCAACUAUUAAUGAGGCCUCUGCCCACCAGGGGGCUCCAGAGGACCAGACUCAGCCUCCUGCUAUGCCCCAGCCACCAGAGCCGCCUCCUGAACCCCAGGAGGCCUCACCCACAUCUGGAGAAGCUCCUCUCAGCCAGGAAGACCAGGCCAGCCUGCUGGCCCUCAUUCUGGGCCAAAUCAUAAAACCUGAAACCGAGGAGCAAAGCGACGAAAGCAAUGGCGUUAAGUCAGAGGAGGCGCUCACGCGCGGUUCGUCCGCUUCGACUACUGAUUCCAAGGAUGGUGCUGUGUCAAAAAGGAAACAAGUUUUGGCCAACCAGUUGCCUCCAAGCGGUGAACUGCGCCCCCCCUCCCCACCGGGGUCACCUCCACCAGCUCCUCUCCUGGUGAACUCCCAACAAGCUGAGUCAGAAACCCAGCCUAACAACCAGGACAUCAGCCCUGCUGUGGCUGCUGCCUUGCUCCAGCUCAUCUCUCAGCCGGACCUGGAGGCUGUGGCCUCCAAGCAAAGCAAAGACCCAUCCCCGGCUGUGGAUGCCGCAGGCCGUGAAGAGCUUCCCCCACCCUGGGUUGCAGACUCUCCCAUUAAACCUUCCGCCCCUGCUGAGUCGCCAGCAGCGGCGGGUACUGCUGCUCCCACCACUUCAUCUCAGUUCCCAAAGGACCAGGACCUGCGGUUUUCCCAAGGAGCAGCCCGCUGAACCUGAAUCCACUGGUGACCUUAAUGUUGGGUAUCCUGGGACAGUUCCAGCAGUCCUGGCCUGAAGGGAAAGGCAGAUGGAGAAUGCAGCCACAGAAAGUGACUCACUGGACCAACAGCAGAUUGUCAUCCCUGAGCUGGAUCCUCUGUGGUUCUUCCAGAGUUACGGUUGGUGUCUUGGCUGCUAAUCUAAUUAAAAUCUUUAAGUUAAGGGUCAGACUAAAGGGUGAUGAGCACAAAUUCAUGCCAUACGUUUCCAAUUUUUAUUUGUAAAAAAACAAAACCCCCCCAAAAAAACAAAAACAUUGUAAACCAUGUAUCUUUCUCUUCCACUUCAAAAUUGUGCAUAAUGUGUGUUGGUCUAUCACAUAGACCUUAAUUAAACACAUUAAAGUUUGUGGUUGUAACACUCUGCAAGCAGCAACCUGCUCACCGUAUGGGAUUAAAAAUCAUUGUCAGAGAUGCACCAAUCAUGUUUUUCUUGCCCAAUACAGAUUUGUGUUUAUCGUCCUCUCUGUUUGGCCUGUUCAGAAAUUUCUUUCUAUAGAGUACAAAAAAUAAAACCUAUUUGUGCGUUUUGUUCAAUUAAAUCCGGCAUAUAUCAUAAAACAUAAAUAUGUCAUUGCAGGUCUUUUUAGAGAAGUGGUAGUUUUGAUUACAACUGAAAAGGGGUUAGAAUAAUAUCCUCGUAUAUGCAUUUAAUCAUAUGUCCCCAACCUUUAUCUGAUUUUUAAUAUUUGGGAAACGUGUUGUGAGCUCAUACAUUUAUAGACUUAAAUAAAAGUGGGAGUUUUCACUUCUAGCACUUUUAAUAAAUGAAAAAAAAAUUGGACCUUCAGUAUUUGAUGCUGAUCACCAUUCAGGGCCGACUGAUCCAAAGUCCGAUCAGUUGGUUUUGUAUGUAGCAUAGAUGCAUAAACAGCUGAAUUGCAGAUUUUUAAGUCAGCAGACUGAUAAUAUUGCUUCAAGCCCAAUCAGCAUUGGAGUAAUUAUAUUCGGACCCAAUCAGAUGGAGACAUGCUGUCUCUCGACGAUUGGUACUCCCUGUAUAUCAAUAAUAUUCAUAUUUCGGUUAUUUCCCCACUUGGUUUGAUCUCUCAAUGAUGAUCCCGACAGGCAGCCAAGGAUCAUAAACCUUAGAUGGGCAAACGCAGAAGCUUCCAAGGAUCGUGCAGACUGUGUGUGUGUGUGUGUGUGUGUGUGUGCUGAAUUGGCUUCACGCACAGCUCCUCACUUGGCAAGCUUACAGAGCCGCUUACCCCUCUGGCCCAGCGAGCAGCUGAGCCCUCUGGGUGAGAUAUCCAUUCAGAGAGGAGGCAGAGGGAGGCUCACCUGCCCUCUAGCACAGGCUCAGUGUGAAUGAGAUGAGACGGUGAUGCAUUCUGUCUGAUGCCUCUCCCCGUCGGGACUCCAAAUAAUAGUGAAUGUGCCCGCAGGGAGUUUCCACUGGAGGAUGUAGUGGGCAAUGCCACUGCCAAGUCACAAAGACGAGACGAAUAAAUCAGGGCUGAGGAGUGACGAGAGGGAGGCGAGUGAGGCAGUGCCAUUAAUCAGAAAAGCACCUUAUGGGGAAUGCCCAAAAAUGUGCCAAUCUGAAGCUUGUCGUCGCCAUAGCAGGGACAGUCGGCGGCGAUCAAAAUGGAGGCUCCAUUUUGAAUGCUGGCACUUCAGUCAGCUGCUGCGAUUCUGGUAGAUUUCCAGACAAACUGUGAAAUAACCGAAGGUCUGUUUCGGUCUAUUCACGCUAAAUUGAUUGAAUGAAUAUUUGUAUUUUUAUGUCAGAUUGAUCAAAAUUUCUCAGUGCCUCUCAGAUCUGAUGACCAGUAAUAUUAAACACCUGGUUUGGAUCCCAUCUCACAUUUAAAGGAACUUUUAACAGUCCAGACUUAAGAGAAAAUGCAAAUCUGAUAGCCAGAUUUCAUCAUAGAGACAUAGAAGCAUUUUUUUAAGUUCUCUACAAGCUACAGAAUGUUCCUUUAAUGUCACAUGAGCAUUGUUUGUCUCAAUUUGAUUGUGAUCUGUCAGCAAACUCAGUGUAUGUUCACUGUUGAGUUUAAACUUCCAGUCUAGUUUAUACUUCCCUUGAAUAAGCUUGACAGAAUUUUCAGACUGAAGAUACAACUAAGCAUAACCUCUGAAAUGUUUCAGAAAUUUCUCCAGUUGUCAGAUCUCAUUUCAAGAUUUAAUUUCAACGUAUAAAAUGGUAUCAAUAAAAAGUUCUUAACUGCCUUCUUACAGCGUAUCACAGCAAUGAAAACGUGUGAGUGUGUGCAGUCUGCAGUCGUCUUUGUGAGCAAUUUGACGGUUUGAUGUUCGAGGCUGUUUGAUCAGCUUGUGAACUCAUUGAGGAGAGGCUGGGAACUCCACAGCUCCACAUCCAAGACGAGGCGAAAUGCAACAAAACAGGCAAAUAUCAGUCCAGAACACCAAAUAUUGACAAAUGUAUACAUUAAAAGUAAAGCACAUUU